rnacentral:rRNA from 1 species
AAUCAACGCUGGCGGCGUGCCUCAGACAUGCAAGUCGAACGCGAAAUUUCCCUUCGGGGAGAAAGUAGAGUGGCGCACGGGUGAGUAACACGUAGGUAAUUUGCCUUUGGGUGGGGAAUAACUCAGGGAAACUUGAGCUAAUACCGCAUAAUGCAGCGGCUCGACAUCGAGACAGUUGUUAAAGCGGGGGAUUGGAGCAAUCCGACCUCGCGCCUAAAGAGAAGCCUGCGGCAGAUUAGCUAGUUGGUAAGGUAAUGGCUUACCAAGGCGACGAUCUGUAACCGGCCUGAGAGGGCGGUCGGUCACACUGACACUGACAUACGGGUCAGACUCCUACGGGAGGCAGCAGUCGGGAAUUUUGGGCAAUGGGCGCAAGCCUGACCCAGCAACGCCGCGUGAAGGAUAG